GGAUUGAACGCUGGCGGCAUGCCUAACACAUGCAAGUCGAACGGGAGUAGCAAUACUCUAGUGGCGGACGGGUGAGGAAUACGUAGGAAUUUGCCCUUAAGUGGGGGAUAACCCGGGGAAACCCGGAUUAAUACCGCAUGACCUCGAAAGAGCAAAGUGGGGGAUCGCAAGACCUCACGCUUUUGGAGAAGCCUACGUCGGAUUAGCUAGUUGGUGAGGUAAUGGCUCACCAAGGCGACGAUCCGUAACUGGUCUGAGAGGAUGAUCAGUCACACCGGAACUGAGACACGGUCCGACUCCGUACGGGAGCAGCAGUGGGAAUA
rnacentral:rRNA from 1 species